rnacentral:rRNA from 1 species
ACGAGAGCUUUUAGCUCUAGUGGCGGACGGGUGAGUAACACGUGAGAAUCUGCCCUUAGGAGGAGGAUAACAGCUGGAAACGGUUGCUAAUACUCCAUAUGCCGAGAGGUGAAAGGAUUUAUCCACCUAAGGAGGAGCUCGCGUCUGAUUAGCUAGUUGGUAGGGUAAAGGCCUACCAAGGCGACGAUCAGUAGCUGGUUUGAGAGGAUGAUCAGCCACACUGGGACUGAGACACGGCCCAGACUCCUACGGGAGGCAGCAGUAGGGAAUUUUCCGCAAUGGGCGAAAGCCUGACGGAGCAAUACCGCGUGAGGGAUGACGGCCUGUGGGUUGUAAACCUCUUUUCUCAAGGAAGAAGUUCUGACGGUACUUGAGGAAUAAGCAUCGGCUAACUCUGUGCCAGCAGCCGCGGUAAUACAGAGGAUGCAAGCGUUAUCCGGAAUCACUGGGCAUAAAGCGUCUGUAGGUUGUUUGGUAAGUCUGCUGUUAAAGACUGGGGCUCAACCCCA